UACGUAGGGUGCAAGCGUUGUCCGGAAUUAUUGGGCGUAAAGAGCUCGUAGGCGGUUUGUCGCGUCUGCUGUGAAGUCUGGGGGCUCAACCCCCAGCCUGCAGUGGGUACGGGCAGACUAGAGUGCGGUAGGGGAGAUUGGAAUUCCUGGUGUAGCGGUGGAAUGCGCAGAUAUCAGGAGGAACACCUAUGGCGAAAGCAGCUCUCUGGGACGGUACUGACGCUGAGACGCGAAAGCGUGGGGAGCGAACAGG
rnacentral:rRNA from 1 species